UACGUAGGGACCGAGCGUUGUCCGGAAUCAUUGGGCGUAAAGCGCGUGUAGGCGGCUUGGUAGGUUUCGUGUUAAAUCCCUCGGCUCAACCGAGGAAUCGCACGGAAAACCACCUCGCUAGAGUCCGGAAGAGGGAAACGGAAUUCCAGGUGUAGCGGUGAAAUGCGCAGAUAUCUGGAAGAACACCCGUGGCGAAGGCAGCUUGCUGGGACGUUACUGACGCUAAGGCGCGAAAGCGUGGGGAGCGAACAGG
rnacentral:rRNA from 1 species